AGACAGGGUCUUCCUCUUUGCCUAAGCUGGAGCGCAUUGGUGUGAUCAUCGCUCACUGCUGCCUCAAACUCCUGGGCUCAUGCGACCCUCCCACCUCAGCCUCCUGACUAGUUGGGACUACAGAAUUGGUUCCUUCCAGUGAGUUCUUGGUCUCGCUGACUUCAAGAAUGAAGCCACAGACCUGUGCGAUGAGUGUUACAGCUCUUAAAGAUGGUGUGUCCAGAGUUUGUUCCUUCAGAUGUUCAGAUGUGUCUGGAGUUUAUUCCUUCUGAUGGGUUCGUCCUCUCGCUAACUUCCAAGAAUGAAGCCGUGGACGUUCAGAGUCAAGAUCUAAGCAAACACACAAAUGUGAACAACAGGGAAAGAACCCAUUGACCUACCAAGACAGGCUGCCAACAGAAUUUUGAAGGCUUGCCAAGAUGCUUUUAUGGAGGUAGAGUGAAUGAGAUUCU